AAGUCGUAACAAGGUUUCCGUAGGUGAACCUGCGGAAGGAUCAUUAACACGGUUAGAUUUUCCAUUUGGAUUGUCAGUCUAUUUUUCUUUAAUCGCCGCGCACCUUGUUAAAAAACGGACUUUGUUCGAACCAGGAAAUUGAGAGCAAGCUGCUUGAUUGAUGGGUGGCCUCUCGGUUGACAAACGACUUGGUUUUUGAAUCUCACGGUCCGUCAUCAAUCACUUGGAGCUUUCUUUUUGAUAAACACCUUUUCGUACUACUACCAGUCUGAAUCGUUUGAUCUCUCUGCCUCUUUUUCUUUUUUCUUUCUGAGAAAAGAGAGAGAGAGAGCGUUGGGAAAGAACAAAAAACAAAACUUUGAACAACUCUUAGCAACGGAUAUCUCGGUUCUC
rnacentral:misc_RNA from 1 species